UCAAGGUUUGCAUCUACCGCAGAUUGAUAUGAUGGCAGAUAACAUAGCAGCAAGUUCCACCACUCUCACAAAAAUGGCAAAAAAACUACGCCAGCAUUACACGCAUGCAUUACUGCUGUUAAAAGAAUGAGGCGGCACAAGGGACAAAUCAUUGGGGGACAACACAAAUUUGUUGUGAUUGAUGAGAGUCACUUCCGACAUAAAAGAAAGUAUGGGAAAGGAAGAAUGGCAGGAGCAUGGAAGAGGAAGAUGUGGGUUUUUGGCAUGCUAGGAGUCCAGGGGCAGAGGAGUGGAAAGCCAGUUUUACGACUUGUGAAGAAACGUACUCGAAGGGAACUUGUACCACUGAUUGGCCGCCACGUGAAACCCGGGUCCACUGUUAUUAGUGACGAGUGGCGAGCACAUCGCAUCCUUCCUGCACUUGAGUACAAACAGCUAACAGUUAAUCACAGUCAGUUUUAUGUAAAUCUCAGAACGGUGCUCACACACAACAUAUAGAAAGGGCAUGGCGGACCUAUAAAGAGCAAGUAUGGAGGCUUAGGGGGAAUCAAACUGAAGACAUGCUACGGAAGCACCUCUGUUUGAUUGAAUGGAAUGAAUGGCUUGCUAAGAAACAUCACAGUGGUCCGCUAGGAUAAUUACUACAUGACAUAAAGAAAAAGUGCAAUUGAUGCACUUAAUGUUUUUUUUUUUUUAAUGUACACAAAAUGUUCAGCAUGAGUGGACAGUAACCGCCCCUUGGAAAGGGCAGAUUCUGAGUUUAAACAUUUUAAAGUGUAUUGUAAGUUGUUAAGUUCUAAAUGUUAUACAAGGCACAAUCUGUAAUGUGGUUGUGAUGUGUUGAAGCGCUGUUAUAUGUUUGUGGCUGUGGUUAAUGUUAUAAAGGUCAUUUUUCAUUUUC